GACGAACGCUGGCGGCGUGCCUAAUACAUGCAAGUAGAACGCUGAAGCGAGGAGCUUGCUCUUCUUGGAUGAGUUGCGAACGGGUGAGUAACGCGUAGGUAACCUGCCUUGUAGCGGGGGAUAACUAUUGGAAACGAUAGCUAAUACCGCAUAACAAUGGAUGACCCAUGUCAUUUAUUUGAAAGGGGCAAAUGCUCCACUACAAGAUGGACCUGCGUUGUAUUAGCUAGUAGGUGAGGUAACGGCUCACCUAGGCGACGAUACAUAGCCGACCUGAGAGGGUGAUCGGCCACACUGGGACUGAGACACGGCCCAGACUCCUACGGGAGGCAGCAGUAGGGAAUCUUCGGCAAUGGGGGCAACCCUGACCGAGCAACGCCGCGUGAGUGAAGAAGGUUGUCGGAUCGUAAAGCUCUGUUGUAAGUCAAGAACGAGUGUGAGAGUGGAAAGUUCACACUGUGACGGUAGCUUACCAGAAAGGGACGGCUAACUACGUG
rnacentral:rRNA from 1 species